GAUGAACGCUGGCGGCGUGCUUAACACAUGCAAGUCGAACGAAGCACCUUAUUUGAUUUUCUUCGGAACUGAAGAUUUGGUGACUGAGUGGCGGACGGGUGAGUAACGCGUGGGUAACCUGCCCUGUACAGGGGGAUAACAGUUAGAAAUGACUGCUAAUACCGCAUAAGACCACAGCACCGCAUGGUGCAGGGGUAAAAACUCCGGUGGUACAGGAUGGACCCGCGUCUGAUUAGCUGGUUGGUGAGGUAACGGCUCACCAAGGCGACGAUCAGUAGCCGGCUUGAGAGAGUGAACGGCCACAUUGGGACUGAGACACGGCCCAAACUCCUACGGGAGGCAGCAGUGGGGAAUAUUGCACAAUGGGGGGAACCCUGAUGCAGCGACGCCGCGUGAGUGAAGAAGUAUUUCGGUAUGUAAAGCUCUAUCAGCAGGGAAGAAAAUGACGGUACCUGACUAAGAAGC
rnacentral:rRNA from 1 species